ACUCCUACGGGAGGCAGCAGUGGGGAAUAUUGGACAAUGGGCGCAAGCCUGACCCAGCCAUGCCGCGUGAGUGAUGAAGGCCCUAGGGUUGUAAAGCUCUUUCACCGGUGAAGAUAAUGACGGUAACCGGAGAAGAAGCCCCGGCUAACUUCGUGCCAGCAGCCGCGGUAAUACGAAGGGGGCUAGCGUUGUUCGGAUUUACUGGGCGUAAAGCGCACGUAGGCGGACUAUUAAGUCAGGGGUGAAAUCCCGGGGCUCAACCCCGGAACUGCCUUUGAUACUGGUAGUCUUGAGUUCGAGAGAGGUGAGUGGAAUUCCGAGUGUAGAUGUGAAAUUCGUAGAUAUGCGGAGGAACACCAGUGGCGAAGGCGGCUCACUGGCUCGAUACUGACGCUGGGGUGCGAAAGCGUGGGGAGCAAACAGGAUUAGAAACCCCGGUAGUCCCAUG
rnacentral:rRNA from 1 species